GAUGAACGCUGGCGGCGUGCUUAACACAUGCAAGUCGAACGGGAUCCCAGGAGCUUGCUCCUGGGUGAGAGUGGCGAACGGGUGAGUAAUGCGUGACCGACCUGCCCCAUACACCGGAAUAGCUCCUGGAAACGGGUGGUAAUGCCGGAUGCUCCAGUUGGAUGCAUGUCCUUCUGGGAAAGAUUCAUCGGUAUGGGAUGGGGUCGCGUCCUAUCAGCUUGAUGGCGGGGUAACGGCCCACCAUGGCUUCGACGGGUAGCCGGCCUGAGAGGGCGACCGGCCACAUUGGGACUGAGAUACGGCCCAGACUCCUACGGGAGGCAGCAGUGGGGAAUAUUGCACAAUGGGCGCAAGCCUGAUGCAGCGACGCCGCGUGCGGGAUGACGGCCUUCGGGUUGCAAACCGCUUUUGACUGGGAGCAAGCCCUUCGGG
rnacentral:rRNA from 1 species